UUAAUUGAAGAGUUUGAUCAUGGCUCAGAUUGAACGCUGGCGGCAGGCCUAACACAUGCAAGUCGAGCGGAAACGGCRGUAUUGAAGCUUCGGUGGAUUUACUGGACGUCGAGCGGCGGACGGGUGAGUAACGGCUGGGAACCUGCCCUGACGAGGGGGAUAACCGUUGGAAACGACGGCUAAUACCGCAUAAUGUCUUGAUUCGUUAGAGUCAGGACCAAAGGUGGCCUC
rnacentral:rRNA from 1 species